rnacentral:rRNA from 1 species
GUAAUGCCGGAUGCUCCAGUUGAUCGCAUGGUCUUCUGGGAAAGCUUUCGCGGUAUGGGAUGGGGUCGCGUCCUAUCAGCUUGACGGCGGGGUAACGGCCCACCGUGGCUUCGACGGGUAGCCGGCCUGAGAGGGCGACCGGCCACAUUGGGACUGAGAUACGGCCCAGACUCCUACGGGAGGCAGCAGUGGGGAAUAUUGCACAAUGGGCGCAAGCCUGAUGCAGCGACGCCGCGUGAGGGAUGGAGGCCUUCGGGUUGUAAACCUCUUUUAUCGGGGAGCAAGCGUGAGUGAGUUUACCCGUUGAAUAAGCACCGGCUAACUACGUGCCAGCAGCCGCGGUAAUACGUAGGGUGCAAGCGUUAUCCGGAAUUAUUGGGCGUAAAGGGCUCGUAGGCGGUUCGUCGCGUCCGGUGUGAAAGUCCAUCGCUUAACGGUGGAUCCGCGCCGGGUACGGGCGGGCUUGAGUGCGGUAGGGGAGACUGGAAUUCCCGGUGUAACGGUGGAAUGUGUAGAUAUCGG